UUCCACUCAAGAAAAUUCAACAUAUUUUUACAGCUAACACGCGGUACACAUUACAUUACAAAUCACAUCAAGCAAGUCUCACUCAAUUACACGAUGUACUGAGCUCUUGGAACCGAAUACAUGACAGAUUGUAAGUGCCGCCAAUGCGCAUUACUCACCAUGGGGAAAAGAUCCGGCUAUUAUUAACAAUUCUGCAUAUCUAACUACUGUUUUGGGGUAUACGCUGACAUACAGAAAAAGUCAUCAUUUUGGGGCAAUUUGCUGAGGAUUUUGAUAUUUAUAAUCCUGUUGCUUUUACUUGCUUAUGUGCUACUUGCCAUAUUUGCCCCAGAAGUAGCAGAUUCGAUACGGAAGAAGUUAAAAGAAAUAUGGCAAAAGCUAACAGGAGAAAAGUCAAGCGGAAGCGAUGAAGAUUCACGGGGUAACAGUCGUAAAGGUUCGAAGAAAAGUCGUAAGGAUAAGAGCCGUGAUCAGGAUUCUGAUGAUGAGGAGAGAAGCCAGAAGGAUGACAGUAAUACAGACGAAAACGAUCAAGGAGGUAAGAAGAAAGAUUCUAAAAAAAGAAAAGGUGAAGCAUCGAAUAAGAAGAAUAACAAAAAGACUCGAAAUUCUGAUGAUGCGAAAAGUAAAAAAGAUAACAAUUCUACAGAUGAGGAAGAGGAAGAAAGAAAA